CAGCAGCGGCGGACUUGUUGGACCAUGUGAACACAGCGUCCCUCUCUCAUUCCUUCAACCAGCUUGCAUUAUAUUAUUGA